rnacentral:rRNA from 1 species
GACGAACGCUGGCGGCGUGCUUAACACAUGCAAGUCGAACGGAAAGGCCCUGCUUUUGUGGGGUGCUCGAGUGGCGAACGGGUGAGUAACGCGUGAGUAACCUGCCCUUGACUUUGGGAUAACUUCAGGAAACUGGGGCUAAUACCGGAUAGGAGCUCCUGCUGCAUGGUGGGGGUUGGAAAGUUUCGGCGGUUGGGGAUGGACUCGCGGCUUAUCAGCUUGUUGGUGGGGUAGUGGCUUACCAAGGCUUUGACGGGUAGCCGGCCUGAGAGGGUGACCGGCCACAUUGGGACUGGGAUACGGCCCAGACUCCUACGGGAGGCAGCAGUGGGGAAUAUUGCACAAUGGGCGGAAGCCUGAUGCAGCAACGCCGCGUGCGGGAUGACGGCCUUCGGGUUGUAAACCGCUUUCGCCUGUGACGAAGCGUGAGUGACGGUAAUGGGUAAAGAAGCACCGGCUAACUACGUG